rnacentral:rRNA from 1 species
UAUCUCUGUAGAGUCUGCAUAUCAAUAAGCGGAGGAAAAGAAACUAACUAGGAUUCCCUUAGUAACGGCGAGUGAAGCGGGAAGAGCUCAAAUUUGAAAUCUUCAAGGUUCUACCUUGACGAAUUGUAGUUUAAAGAAGUGUUUUCUGUUAGAUGAGUAGCAAAAGUUCCUUGGAAUGGGACAUCAUAGAGGGUGAGAAUCCCGUAUUUGGUUAUUCAUUCUAGCUUUGUGAUACACUUUCAAAGAGUCGGAUUGUUUGGGAAUGCAGUCCAAAAUGGGUGGUAAAUUUCAUCUAAAGCUAAAUAUUGGCGAGAGACCGAUAGCGAACAAGUACCGUGAGGGAAAGAUGAAAAGAACUUUGAAAAGAGAGUUAAACAGUACGUGAAAUUGUCAAAAGGGAAGCGUUUGACACCAGUGUUGUUUUUCCGAAAAUCAAUUACGAAUGGCUUGAUUCUGUGUUGUAUUGACCUUAUCAGCUUUCUGCACUUUUUUCGAGUCUUUCUUAAUGCACUUUUUCGGUUAACAAGUCAACAUCAAUUUCUUUUGUUGUAAAAGAGUAUUCGGAAGGUGGCUUUCUUUUCGGAGAAAGUGUUUAUAGCCCUAUACUUCUACAAUCGGAGAGAUUGAGGUCUGCAGCGUAGAUCCUUCGGGGUUAGAUACACUUGUGCUAAGUUGUAGCUUUUCAUAGACAACUUGUUGACUAUGUUUAGUCAUGCGGCUUACUCGCUUAUGCUAUUUUACCUACGCUUAGGAUGUUGACGAGACUGUCGAUCUC